GACGAACGCUGGCGGCGUGCUUAACACAUGCAAGUCGAACGGAAAGGCCCUGCUUUUGUGGGGUGCUCGAGUGGCGAACGAGUGAGUAACACGUGAGUAACCUGCCCUUGACUUUGGGAUAACUUCAGGAAACUGGGGCUAAUACCGGAUAGGAGCUCCUGCUGCAUGGUGGGGGUUGGAAAGUUUCGGCGGUUGGGGAUGGACUCGCGGCUUAUCAGCUUGUUGGUGGGGUAGUGGCUUACCAAGGCUUUGACGGGUAGCCGGCCUGAGAGGGUGACCGGCCACAUUGGGACUGAGAUACGGCCCAGACUCCUACGGGAGGCAGCAGUGGGGAAUAUUGCACAAUGGGCGGAAGCCUGAUGCAGCAACGCCGCGUGCGGGAUGACGGCCUUCGGGUUGUAAACCGCUUUCGCCUGUGACGAAGCGUGAGUGACGGUAAUGGGUAAAGAAGCACCGGCUAACUACGUGCCAGCAGCCGCGGUGAUACGUAGGGUGCGAGCGUUGUCCGGAUUUAUUGGGCGUAAAGGGCUCGUAGGUGGUUGAUCGCGUCGGAAGUGUAAUCUUGGGGCUUAACCCUGAGCGUGCUUUCGAUACGGGUUGACUUGAGGAAGGUAGGGGAGAAUGGAAUUCCUGGUGGAGCGGUGGAAUGCGCAGAUAUCAGGAGGAACACCAGUGGCGAAGGCGGUUCUCUGGGCCUUUCCUGACGCUGAGGAGCGAAAGCGUGGGGAGCGAACAGGCUUAGAUACCCUGGUAGUCCACGCUGUAAACGGUGGGUACUAGGUGUGGGGUCCAUUCCACGGGUUCCGUGCCGUAGCUAACGCUUUAAGUACCCCGCCUGGGGAGUACGGCCGCAAGGCUAAAACUCAAAGGAAUUGACGGGGCCCCGCACAAGCGGCGGAGCAUGCGGAUUAAUUCGAUGCAACGCGUAGAACCUUACCUGGGUUUGACAUGGAUCGGGAGUGCUCAGAGAUGGGUGUGCCUCUUUUGGGGUCGGUUCACAGGUGGUGCAUGGCUGUCGUCAGCUCGUGUCGUGAGAUGUUGGGUUAAGUCCCGCAACGAGCGCAACCCUUGUUCACUGUUGCCAGCACGUUAUGGUGGGGACUCAGUGGAGACCGCCGGGGUCAACUCGGAGGAAGGUGGGGAUGACGUCAAGUCAUCAUGCCCCUUAUGUCCAGGGCUUCACGCAUGCUACAAUGGCUGGUACAGAGAGUGGCGAGCCUGUGAGGGUGAGCGAAUCUCGGAAAGCCGGUCUCAGUUCGGAUUGGGGUCUGCAACUCGACCUCAUGAAGUCGGAGUCGCUAGUAAUCGCAGAUCAGCAACGCUGCGGUGAAUACGUUCCCGGGGCU
rnacentral:rRNA from 1 species